ensembl:lncRNA
ACUGCCUCGAGUCUCUCCCCAAGCAGCUGAGCACACAAUGGUUUCAUCCAGGUUACUGGGUUUGUCAGGUUGAUUUUGAGCUCUUGCUUCAGAUCUGAACAAGACAUUGGAACAAGUAAAGCAUGACUAUCACUUCAGCUUCUGUUUAUCUCCUCCUCAUUGGACCUUCCUGUGGACUUACCAGAACUCUAUCAAACAGUAUCACAAUAUCUACCUUUGCAUCCGGUAAAAGUGGGGGUCACAUUAAGACUGGCUGAAAUUCCAGCUUAUGAAAUAUACUGAGGUUUCAGAGCCUGUUCCAACAUGAACAAAACCAAUAUCAUCUGUAUUACAUGCAUGAAGAAACCAAACCUAUUCCAGGAGACCAAUAGGAAUUUUUUCUGUAACCUACAGAUUAGUAGCUCACCUUGGGAAAAAAGAGAGCCAUACUCAGCUCCCCUCAGAGAAUCAGGCAUUUGAAUUUGAGCUUAGCUCCUUCCAGAAUAUUCAAACAGAUGUGUCAUUUAACCUCCCUCACAAGACUGCACUUCCCAGGAUGGAGGAUGGUCCUGCUGUAUCUUGAACAUCCCCCUGGCUGCAGUGCAUAGCAAGAACAUAGCUCAGCUGGUAAAGCCAGCUGUGAGGAGGAGAAAUAGGGGAUAUUCCUUCCUAAUCCACUGUCUUAACUUAUUUUAACUAAAGUGUUCUGGUUUUGUUCAACAGUCCACAAGUUGCUCAAUUUGGACAUAUUUUAUCAGGGAAAAACAAAAAAGUUUGCUUUUUUGCUUAUAUUGUUAUAGAAAGACUAUCAUUUUAAAUAAAAGUCCGGGGUUUCAUGUAAGCAGUAAACCUACAAGUUUUCAGGAUGAGGAUCCUUAGCUUAUUCACUGAAAUGAAGACAAAAAUCUAUUUCAGGAGUUUCAAGAAUAAUUUUUUGAAACACACGUGUAUAUAGUAUAUAACUAUAUACUAUAACACAUAAAUCCAGUACAAGAAGUAGAAAAGUCUACUUUUGAAAACACUGUUUCAUUUAUCUGUGGUUUCAAGCAACAUAUUUGUCAGCAGAAAUAUGUCAUGAAUAGAUGCAGUUAACUCCAAACUAUAUUUCAUCUGUUGAAUACCAUUUGCUUUUGCAAGUAAGGGUAGGAAAUAUUUUUCCAUCUCUUAGAAAGGUCACAAUGCUUUGGACUUUGCAUAGUAGCAGAGACUGAAAGGAAUACUUUCACUUUUAAAGUUUUUUUAUUCAGCCUUUUCUUUUCCUCACAUUAACUUUACAACGCUGUUUUAACAGCUUUUCAAGAGUAUAUCCACAAGCACUAUUGCAGAAUUUUCAUGAAAUGAUUUUAAUAACUCGGUUUCUUCUUGGUUACCUUAGUAAACACAGAUAAAGAAGUAGCUCCUCUGCAGUACCGAAUAUUUUAUGCUUCUAAUUUCAAAAAACAAAAAACAGUUCAGAUUUCUUUGUAUCCAUACUUUAUGUAUAAACCGUAUCUUGAUGUCACAGAAUCACAGAGUUGUAGGAGUUGGGUGGGCUUCUGGGGAUCACCUAGUGCAAUUCCCCACUAAAGCAAUUUCCCUACAGUAGGCUGCACAGGAAAGUCCAGGUGGGUUUUGAAUAUCUCCAGAGAAGGAAACCCCACAACCUCUCUGGGCAGCCUGUUUCUUUGCAGUCACCUUCACAGUAAAGAUCUUCCUCACAUUUGUAUGGAACCUUCUGUGUUCCAGUUUGUGUCCACUACCCCUUAUUAUGUCUUUGGGCAUCACCAAACAGAGUCUAGCCCCAUCCUCUUGAUGUCCAUGCUUAAGAUAUGCUCUAGGCCCCUUAUCAUCUUUGUGGCUCUCUGCUGGACUCUCUCUAGAAGUUCUCUGUCUUUCUUCAACUGAGGAGCCCAGGACCGAAUGCAUUGCUCCAGAUGUGGCCUCACCAGGGCAGAGUAGAGGAGGAGGACCACCUCCCUCGACCAGCUGGCCACACUCUUUUUAAUGCACCUCAGGAUACCACUGGCCUUCGUGGCCACAAGGGCACACUGUUGGCUCAUGGCCAACCUGUUGUUAAACCAGGACACCCAGGUCCUUCUAAAGUAGGGUAUAAAUCUUUGAAGGCUUUUGUUGUUUUUGAUAUCUCCUGCUUCCUACAUUAUACAGUAAAUUAGUAGAAAUGAAUUUGAGUCAGCCAGUACAGUAGUAAAGUAGUGGUUAUUGGGUUGCCAAUGUGCAAAAGCUUUGGUUCCUAGGCCUCCAGCCAGCACAGACUAAACACAUUAAAGAGGUAACUUGCUCGUGAUUGAUGAAAGAUGGGAAGAAAUCACAAUAAUGUACUAUCUUGUGGGUUUGGUUAUUUUUUUCUUUGUUUGAAUUUCAUAUGCAAUUAGUGCAUCUCAAAAUACAGAGAUAGUACAUUACUUCCAUCCUAAACAACGUUCUAAAAUUGGACUGCAUGCAAAUCUUCUGCAUUUACGAUUAGCUCCCUUGCCUAGCACAUGGUAUCACUGCAUCAGUUCUAUUUUGUACUGCUGUACAUGGUGGUUUCCAAACUCCAAUUGCCACUUUUCAUGUAGAAGGAACUUGUGUUUUCCUUUGUUUGCAAGCCUAGCAUACACCUAUGUGUCCACAGUAACAGCAGCUGUGAUGGCCUCCAGCCAUCAGUCUCCUUGAUCACAAGAGAAGGUUUAUGAACUCUCUUGAAUUCAUACCCAUUCAAACUUAAACACGAAUUUAGUCUCAGCAAAGUCAGUGGUACUUCAGUGCAUAAAGAAAGUCAAGCACAGGUUUGGAAAAUAAAAAUGGUUUCAAGAAAAAAGCUGCACGGUUUCCUACCACCUUCUGCUUUGGUUCCCCAGCCUCCAACCAGGUGGGUCCAACAAUAGCCCAGGAUCUUCUGGCCAACUUUCGAUUCUUUCGCUUGAAGAAAGUUCACAUUUAUUUCAUUUUCAUUUCCAAAUCAGAAUAAGGUCUAUUUUGAAAUGGCAAAUUUCUACAUAAAAUGGAAUUUCCUUCUGUCCAGCUCUAGUAACGACUUAGAGUUGCAGUUUAAAUAAAAGAAAACUAACUGCCAUGUGUUAGCAACACGAAAGGGUCAAACUAGAAUUGAUGUUGCUUUGUGAUGCUCAAAUGGGUAGUAAAAUGCAAUUAUUUCCUUCUCAAAAUGCCAUGACUUUUUCCACUCAUUUAUAUAGUAUCCUAUUACAUGCUCUUUAAAUGUGCAGAGGAGAGGCAUUCCAGUGAAAUAUCCCUGCCAUGAGAUCCCAUGAAAACUCACACUUAUCUGCAAUAUAAAUAUUUCUCUCUCUUCUAGCUCAAAAUUUGGUUUAUCAGCUCUUUUUUCUUAAGAGCUCACAGAUUUUCUUUCCUACUUAAACUGAACUUAGGAAAUAUAUUUAAGCAGAGCUAUGAAGUACUCAAGAUUCAAGGUCACAUACCCCAGAAAGUGGGGAAACUAGUGCCACAUAUGAAGAAUGCCAAUGUGAUUAGCACUAAAGAGUGCCAAGCACACAAAUAUAAUAUGCACAAUGUGACAUCUCUAACACCAUAAUUAACUGAUGCUAUAAAACAGUCAUACUCCCCUCACACCCGUGCUGACCAAGGUGUAUAUAGCGCUGGAUGCCCAUGGCAUUGCUUUGAUAAGCAGACAUGCACACACUGAAUGGAAAGCGAGCAAAUGUUUUGUUCUCAGGGGAGACAAAAUCUCUCCACACAGUGCACUGCUCAGUGCCCGCAGUAUUUCCAGACCAGGCUCUUUAGGUGAAGGUGGCAUUAAGGUGAGAGACGUCCUGAGAAGAGAAGAAGGCGUGAUUAAUUCUGGAAUUGUGAUGCCAGCUUCUUGUGGUACUGUGACCUUUCCAAUUGAUUAAGGAAAAACAUUUAUGAAUGCAGGCAGUAGGAUAACAGAACUUCAUUUCCUUUCUCAGCUAACUGAUCAUGUAAAUGGAUUUCAAGACAGAUUAGAGGAAAUGAAUAUGUAUACCCUGCUAUCAGGCUGUUCUUUAUCUGAAAAAAAUGCAUUAGCAGGUUACAAAUACCAGCUCCUGUUCCUCUUGUUUCAUAUUGCUCACAAUAAGGCAGAGUUAGCUUUGAAUUGCUGCUUAACUCAACCCAACAUCUAGGUUGUGUACAAACAGCCUUUAAUUGAGAAAAAAGACUGUGAAGACUGCAGCAGUGUUUUGGUGUUAAAUCCUAGUUUUGGAGGGAGAGAGGAGGAAGAAGGGUGACGAUAGGGCCCCAGCUGUCUGCUAGUCAGACCUUGCCCAAAACCUUGUCUCCCAUCCUCCUGCACCUUGGGUCUCACUGCUGGGAGCCACUUCCACCCCCAGAGUUGGACUGCAGUAACAGUCCACAGUCACUGUGCUGACCCACAGAAGCCAACUGUGGGUCAGCACAAACCGUCUCGAUAAGAAGCUGCUGAGAGAUUUGCUAUCAUCUUCAGAAGAAACAAAACAAACUGAAAACAGCUUGGCUUUUGGGGUUCCAGUUAGUCCUAUUUUGCAUACUUUUUGUACGUAUGAGGCAAGCCGUUCAGUUCCAUCAUGUUUCUGAUAAUAUUUCUUAUCCUUUACUUUGCAGUUUUACCCUUUCAUUCCCCAUCCCAACCUGCUUAAGUAGUUACUCCUUUCUGAUAACAUUACUACACUAUUCACAUUUAAAUGCUUUUGCUCCCUCCUCCUUCCAUAAAUGAUUUUCUCAAGGUGUGUGUAUUAAAUUGUAUUAACUUGCCUCAUUUGUUCACAUGCUGCUAUUCUUUUAAUAAAUUCUUUGCAUUCAGUUUUGUUCCCAUAGUAUUGAAAUACAUAUAGAUACAAAUAAACAUCUGUACAUUUAUUAUUUUUUUAAAAG